rnacentral:pre_miRNA from 1 species
CGUGCACCGGUGGGGUCCCUUGGCCUGGCCUGCGGGGAUUGGGCAGAAACCGGCUCACCGACAUCCCCUGAUGGGUCCCGGAUAGCAAGAGGGUGCAGGCCAGGCCAAGGGACCCCACUGGUGCACU